CCCAGCGCUGCACGGGCUGCCGGGCCCCGGGCAGGACGUGGUGGGGGGCUGGGGCCAGCUAUCUGCACCCCGUCCCCCAGGACAUCCCCGGAUAUCUCCCCAGCUGCCGGGAACGCACCCCAGACCCAGAGCCACGGUCCGCGGGGGGCCCUGUGUCUUCCUGGCUCCUCCGGGUCCCGCGGGGGACUGGACGCGGCCCGAGUGCCCACCUCCCGGGCUGGAGCCUCACCUGCGGCCCCCGCUUGUCCUCUUCCAGGAACUCUGCCAGGAGACCCGGCGCGUGGACAAAUGGAUAAAAAUGCUCAAGCGAUGGGACCACUACCUCCCCAGCGAGAAGGCAGGGAGCCCUGUUCCACAUUCUGGCGGCCUACUCGGUGAACGACACGGUGAGUGUCCCUGCCCCUGCCUCCUGCCCCGCGGAUGGCCUUGUCCUGAGUGCUGGUGACCAGCGGGACUCACAGAGGGGCCCCAGCUCCAUGGCCCCGAGAUGCUGGGGAGGGUCUCUCUCCUCUGGGACGGGCAGGGGGGCGGUGCAGACCUCCCAGGGGAGGCAGGGCCUGCGUGCCCGAGGGCCGGGGCUGCCCGGGGCCCCCGCAUGCACCGCGGCCGUCCUAG
rnacentral:lncRNA from 1 species